rnacentral:rRNA from 1 species
UACGUAGGGGGCGAGCGUUGUCCGGAUUUAUUGGGCGUAAAGAGCGUGUAGGCUGUUCGGUAAGUCUGCCGUGAAAACCUGAGGCUCAACCUCGGGCGUGCGGUGGAUACUGCCGGGCUAGAGGACGGUAGAGGCGAGUGGAAUUCCCGGUGUAGCGGUGAAAUGCGCAGAUAUCGGGAGGAACACCCGUGGCGAAGGCGGCUCUCUGGAAC